rnacentral:rRNA from 1 species
GACAUCAACCGAGACUCCGUUAGUAGUGGCGAGCGAACGCGGACCAGGCCAGUGGCCAAACGUUAAGAACCGGAACUGUCUGGAAAGGCAGGCCAUAGUGGGUGAUAGCCCCGUACGGGUAGAAAGACGUUUGGUCCUCGAGUAGGGCGGGACACGUGAAAUCCUGUCUGAACAUGGGGGGACCACCCUCCAAGCCUAAGUACUCCUGCGCGACCGAUAGUGCACCAGUACCGUGAGGGAAAGGUGAAAAGCACCCCGACGAGGGGAGUGAAAUAGUACCUGAAACCGGAUGCCUACAAACAGCUGGAGCCCGCAAGGGUGACAGCGUACCUUUUGUAUAAUGGGUCAGCGACUUAAUCUGGCGAGCAAGCCUAAGCCGAUAGGUGUAAGCGAAGCGAAAGCGAGUCUGAACAGGGCGUUCAGUUCGUCGGAUUAGACCCGAAACCGAGUGAUCUAGCCAUGAGCAGGCUGAAGGUGAGGUAACACUCACUGGAGGGCCGAACCCACGUCUGUUGAAAAAGACGGGGAUGACUUGUGGCUAGGGGUGAAAGGCCAAUCAAACUCGGAAAUAGCUGGUUCUCCGCGAAAUCUAUUUAGGUAGAGCGUCGGGCGAAUACUCCAGGGGGUAGAGCACUGGAUGGGCUAGGGGUCCUUACCGGAUUACCAAACCUAACCAAACUCCGAAUACCUGGAAGUGCAAUCACGGGAGACACACGGCGGGUGCUAACGUCCGUCGUGGAGAGGGAAACAACCCAGACCGCCAGCUAAGGUCCCCAAAUUCCAGUUAAGUGGGAAACGAUGUGGGAAGGCUCAGACAGCUAGGAGGUUGGCUUAGAAGCAGCCACCCUUUAAAGAAAGCGUAAUAGCUCACUAGUCGAGUCGGCCUGCGCGGAAGAUGUAACGGGGCUCAAACUGGUCACCGAAGCUGCGGCUGUGCACGCAAGUGCACGGGGUAGGGGAGCGUUCUGUAAGCCUGCGAAGGUGUGUUGAGAAGCAUGCUGGAGGUAUCAGAAGUGCGAAUGCUGACAUGAGUAACGAUAAAGGGGGUGAAAAACCCCCUCGCCAGAAGUCCAAGGUUUCCUACGCAACGUUAAUCGGCGUAGGGUUAGUCGGCCCCUAAGGCGAGGCAGAAAUGCGUAGUCGAUGGGAAACGGGUUAAUAUUCCCGUACUUCAUAUAACUGCGAUGGGAAGACGGAGUAGGUUAGCUCAGCAAGGCGAUGGUUGUCCUUGUUCAAGCGUGUAGAAAUGGUUCUUAGGAAAAUCCGGGAACCUCUAUUUCAAGGCGUGAUAACGAGCCCUCUUUUGGGCGAAGUGAGUGAGACCAUACUUCCAGGAAAAUCCUCUAAGCUUCAGGUUAUAUGAAACCGUACCCCAAACCGACACAGGUGGACGAGAUGAGAAUUCUAAGGCGCUUGAGAGAACUCGGGUGAAGGAACUAGGCAAAAUGGUGCCGUAACUUCGGGAGAAGGCACGCUGGUGGUAGGUGAGACCCUUUGCGGGUGGAGCCCAAGCCAGUCGAAGAUACCAGGCCCCUGCGACUGUUUAUUAAAAACACAGCACUGUGCAAACACGAAAGUGGACGUAUACGGUGUGACGCCUGCCCGGUGCCGGAAGGUUAAUUGAUGGGGUUAGCGUAAGCGAAGCUCUUGAUCGAAGCCCCGGUAAACGGCGGCCGUAACUAUAACGGUCCUAAGGUAGCGAAAUUCCUUGUCGGGUAAGUUCCGACCUGCACGAAUGGCGUAACGAUGGCCACACUGUCUCCACCCGGGACUCAGUGAAAUUGAAAUCGCUGUGAAGAUGCAGUGUACGCGCGGCUAGACGGAAAGACCCCGUGCACCUUUACUACAGCUUUACACUGGAUUUUGAACAAGCUUGUGCAGGAUAGGUGGGAGGCUUUGAAGCAAUCACGCCAGUGGUUGUGGAGCCACCCUUGAAAUACCACCCUGGCUUGUUUGAGGUUCUAA